rnacentral:rRNA from 1 species
UACGUAGGGUGCGAGCGUUGUCCGGAAUUAUUGGGCGUAAAGCGCGCGUAGGCGGUUACUUAUGUCGGAUGUGAAAGCCCUCGGCUUAACUGAGGAAGUGCAUUCGAAACUGGGUAGCUAGAGUACUAAAGAGGGUCGCGGAAUUCCCGGUGUAGAGGUGAAAUUCGUAGAUAUCGGGAGGAACACCAGUGGCGAAGGCGGUUGCCUGGAGCUUUGCUGACGCUGAGGCGCGAAAGCGUGGGGAGCGAUCCGG